AUUGAACGCUGGCGGCAUGCCUUACACAUGCAAGUCGAACGGCAGCACGGGUGCUUGCACCUGGUGGCGAGUGGCGAACGGGUGAGUAAUACAUCGGGACAUGUCCUGUAGUGGGGGAUAGCCCGGCGAAAGCCGGAUUAAUACCGCAUACGAUCUACGGAUGAAAGCGGGGGACCUUCGGGCCUCGCGCUAUAGGGUUGGCCGAUGGCUGAUUAGCUAGUUGGUGGGGUAAAGGCCUACCAAGGCGACGAUCAGUAGCUGGUCUGAGAGGACGACCAGCCACACUGGGACUGAGACACGGCCCAGACUCCUACGGGAGGCAGCAGUGGGGAAUUUUGGACAAUGGGCGAAAGCCUGAUCCAGCAAUGCCGCGUGUGUGAAGAAGGCCUUCGGGUUGUAAAGCACUUUUGUCCGGAAAGAAAUCCUUGGCCCUAAUACGGUCGGGGGAUGACGGUACCGGAAGAAUAAGCACCGGCUAACUACGUG
rnacentral:rRNA from 1 species